rnacentral:rRNA from 1 species
AACGGCCAUACCAUGCUGAAUAUACCGGUUUUCGUUAGAUCACCGAAGUCAAGCAUCAUUGGGCGCGGUCAGUACUUGGGUGGGUGACCACCUGGGAACACUGCGUGCCGUU